UACGUAGGGGGCAAGCGUUGUCCGGAAUCAUUGGGCGUAAAGAGCGUGUAGGCGGCCCGAUAAGUCCGCUGUGAAAGUCCAGGGCUCAACCCUGGGAUGCCGGUGGAUACUGUCGGGCUCGAGUCCGGAAGAGGAGUGUGGAAUUCCGUGGUGUAGCGGUGAAAUGCGCAGAUAUCAGGAGGAACACCAACGGCGAAGGCAGCUCGCUGGGACGGUACUGACGCUGGAGGCGCGAAAGCGUGGGGAGCGAACAGG
rnacentral:rRNA from 1 species